rnacentral:rRNA from 1 species
CGCUAGCGACAGGCCUAACACAUGCAAGUCGAGGGGCAUCGGGGCGAGGAGCAAUCCUUGCCGCCGGCGACCGGCGCACGGGUGAGUAACGCGUAUGCGACCUGCCCGUUGCAGGGGGAUAAUCGGGAGAAAUCCCGUCUAAUACCGCGUAACGCCGCGGGGCUGCAUGGCCCUGCGGCCAAAGGGAGCGAUUCCGGCAACGGAUGGGCAUGCGUGACAUUAGCUAGUUGGCGGGGCAACGGCCCACCAAGGCGACGAUGUCUAGGGGUUCUGAGAGGAAGGUCCCCCACACUGGUACUGAGACACGGACCAGACUCCUACGGGAGGCAGCAGUGAGGAAUAUUGGUCAAUGGGCGCGAGCCUGAACCAGCCAAGUCGCGUGAGGGAUGACGGCCCUACGGGUUGUAAACCUCUUUUGUCGGGGAGCAAAUUCCGCCACGUGUGGCGGAGUCGAGAGUACCCGAAGAAAAAGCAUCGGCUAACUCCGUGCCAGCAGCCGCGGUAAUACGGAGGAUGCGAGCGUUAUCCGGAUUUAUUGGGUUUAAAGGGUGCGUAGGCGGACUGUCAAGUCAGCGGUAAAAUACGGGGGCUCAACCUCCGCCCGCCGUUGAAACUGACGGUCUUGAGUGGGCGAGAAGUAUGCGGAAUGCGUGGUGUAGCGGUGAAAUGCAUAGAUAUCACGCAGAACUCCGAUUGCGAAGGCAGCAUACCGGCGCCCAACUGACGCUGAAGCACGAAAGCGUGGGUAUCGAACAGGAUUAGAUACCCUGGUAGUCCACGCAGUAAACGAUGAAUACUAGCUGUCCGGGGCGAAUGAGCCCUGGGUGGCACAGCGAAAGCGUUAAGUAUUCCACCUGGGGAGUACGCCGGCAACGGUGAAACUCAAAGGAAUUGACGGGGGCCCGCACAAGCGGAGGAACAUGUGGUUUAAUUCGGUGAUACGCGAGGAACCUUACCCGGGCUCAAACGACACAGGAACGUACCUGAAAGGGUUCGGCUCUACGGAGCCUGUGUCGAGGUGCUGCAUGGUUGUCGUCAGCUCGUGCCGUGAGGUGUCGGCUUAAGUGCCAUAACGAGCGCAACCCCCAUCGACAGUUGCUAACAGGUUAGGCUGAGGACUCUGUCGAGACUGCCGGCGCAAGCUGCGAGGAAGGCGGGGAUGACGUCAAAUCAGCACGGCCCUUACGUCCGGGGCGACACACGUGUUACAAUGGCAGGUACAGCGGGAAGCCACCUGGCGACAGGGAGCGGAACCCGAAAGCCUGUCUCAGUUCGGAUUGGAGUCUGCAACCCGACUCCAUGAAGCUGGAUUCGCUAGUAAUCGCGCAUCAGCCACGGCGCGGUGAAUACGUUCCCGGGCCUUGUACACACCGCCCGUCAAGCCAUGGAAGCCGGGGGUGCCUGAAGUGCGCUGCCGCGAGGAGCGCCCUAGGGUAAAACCGGUGACUGGGGCUAAGUCGUAACAAGGUA